rnacentral:misc_RNA from 1 species
GAUGAAGAACGUAGCGAAAUGCGAUAAGUAAUGCGAAUUGCAGAAUUUCCGUGAAUCAUCGAAUCUUUGAACGCACAUUGCGCCCGCCAGUAUUCUGGCGGGCAUGCCUGUUCGAGCGUCAUUUCAACCAUCAAGCCCCAGGCUUGUGUUGGGGGCCUGCAGCUGCUGCAGCCCCCUAAAAGCAGUGGCGGACUCGCUGUCAUACCGAGCGCAGUAGUUACAUCUCGCUCUGGGCAUGGCGGCGGGCACCUGCCGUAAAACACUCUUUCUAAGGUUGACCUCGGAUCAGGUAGGAAUACCCGCUGAACUUAAGCAUAUCAAUAAGCGGAGGA